UUGGAAUGCAAAGUCCAAAAUGUUAUGGGUUGUGCUUGGCAUUUGCACUGCAAGAAUUCAUGUCAUGAAACAUCAUCAAACUACAAAUCAGAUUAAUUAAACAUUAAUUCCAGCACAAAUUAAUUAGACAAUCACUAACUUAGACAAUUGAUUUGAUCAACUUAUGAGUGCAUGUCCUCACGACACAUUCCAAGCAUCAAAAGACACCUGACUGAUCAACAAUUAACACAAGUCUCAUACAGGUUAACACAAAAGCAUCAGGAAGAGAGAUCACAAACACAUAACAGAUCGAACAAGAUGAGAAAGAUUUAGAGAUAAAGAGAGGCUACUUGUCGUUGUUGUUGUACAUGUCCAUGUCCUCGCGCUUCUCGCUGCGCCCUCGCCGGAAUAUGGGAUCCAUAUCAUGAGAACGGUGGCCUCCCGACUCCGGC
rnacentral:lncRNA from 1 species